GCCCGCGUACCGGUGCGCUCUUCUAAAGCGCUAACCGUAAUGGAUGAUGCUGGUUCGAUUCCAGCCGCGGGCUCCA
rnacentral:tRNA from 1 species